rnacentral:rRNA from 1 species
CCUACGGGAGUCAGCAGUGAGGAAUAUUGGUCAAUGGACGAGAGUCUGAACCAGCCAAGUAGCGUGAAGGAUGACUGCCCUAUGGGUUGUAAACUUCUUUUGUAUGGGAAUAAAACAGGGUAUGCAUACCCUCUUGUAUGUACCAUAUGAAUAAGCAUCGGCUAACUCCGUGCCAGCAGCCGCGGUAAUACGGAGGAUCCGAGCGUUAUCCGGAUUUAUUGGGUUUAAAGGGUGCGGAGGUGGAUUGUUAAGUCAGUUGUGAAAGUUUGCGGCUCAACCGUAAAAUUGCAGUUGAAACUGGCAGUCUGGAGUAGAGGAGAGGUGGGCGGAAUUCGUGGUGUAGCGGUGAAAUGAGUAGAUAUCACGAAGAACUCCGAUUGCGAAGGCAGCUCACUGGACUGCAACUGACACUGAUGCUCGAAAGUGUGGGUAUCAAACAGGAUUAGAUACCCGGGUAGUC